GACAGAGGGUGCAAACGUUGCUCGGAAUUACUGGGCGUAAAGCGCGUGUAGGUGGAUUGGUGUGUCAGAUGUGAAAGCCCUGGGCUCAACCCAGGAACUGCACCUGAAACUACCAGUCUUGAGUGGUGGAGAGGGAAGUGGAAUUCCUGGUGUAGAGGUGAAAUUCGUAGAUAUCAGGAGGAACACCAGUGGCGAAGGCGACUUCCUGGCCUGUUCUUGACGCUGAGGCGCGAAAGCUAGGGGAGCAAACGGG
rnacentral:rRNA from 1 species